rnacentral:rRNA from 1 species
AUUGAACGCUGGCGGCAGGCCUAACACAUGCAAGUCGAACGGUAACAGGAAGCAGCUUGCUGCUUUGCUGACGAGUGGCGGACGGGUGAGUAAUGUCUGGGAAACUGCCCGAUGGAGGGGGAUAACUACUGGAAACGGUAGCUAAUACCGCAUAACGUCGCAAGACCAAAGAGGGGGACCUUAGGGCCUCUUGCCAUCGGAUGUGCCCAGAUGGGAUUAGCUAGUAGGUGGGGUAACGGCUCACCUAGGCGACGAUCCCUAGCUGGUCUGAGAGGAUGACCAGCCACACUGGAACUGAGACACGGUCCAGACUCCUACGGGAGGCAGCAGUGGGCAAUAUUGCACAAUGGGCGCAAGCCUGAUGCAGCCAUGCCGCGUGUAUGAAGAAGGCCUUCGGGUUGUAAAGUACUUUCAGCGGGGAGGAAGGGAGUAAAGUUAAUACCUUUGCUCAUUGACGUUACCCGCAGAAGAAGCACCGGCUAACUCCGUG